AACGAACGCUGGCGGCAGGCUUAACACAUGCAAGUCGAACGGGUGUAGCAAUACAUCAGUGGCAGACGGGUGAGUAACACGUGGGAACCUUCCUUAAGGUACGGGACAACUCAGGGAAACUUGAGCUAAUACCGUAUACGUCCGAGAGGAGAAAGAUUUAUCGCCUUUAGACGGGCCCGCGUCGGAUUAGCUAGUUGGUGGGGUAACGCCUACCAAGGCGACGAUCCGUAGCUGAUCUGAGAGGAUGAUCAGCCACACUGGGACUGAGACACGGCCCAGACUCCUACGGGAGGCAGCAGUGGGGAAUCUUGGACAAUGGGCGCAAGCCUGAUCCAGCCAUGCCGCGUGAGUGAAGAAGGCCUUAGGGUUGUAAAGCUCUUUUACCAGGGACGAUAAUGACGGUACCUGGAGAAUAAGCCCC
rnacentral:rRNA from 1 species